GUGAGGAAUAUUGCGCAAUGGAGGCAACUCUGACGCAGCCAUGCCGCGUGCAGGAAGAAGGCGCUACGCGUUGUAAACUGCUUUUAACCGGGAAGAAACCCCAGGACGUGUCCUGGGUUGACGGUACCGGAGGAAUAAGCACCGGCUAACUUCGUGCCAGCAGCCGCGGUAAUACGAAGGGUGCAAGCGUUAUCCGGAUUCAUUGGGUUUAAAGGGUGCGUAGGCGGAGCGUUAAGUCAGUGGUGAAAUCCUGCAGCUUAACUGUAGACUUGCCAUUGAUACUGGCGCUCUGGAGUGAGCUUGAAGUGGGCGGAAUGUGCCGUGUAGCGGUGAAAUGCUUAGAUAUGGCACAGAACACCAAUUGCGAAGGCAGCUCACUAAGGCGAUACUGACGCUGAGGCACGAAAGCGUGGGGAUCGAACAGGAUUAGAAACCCGUGUAGUCC
rnacentral:rRNA from 1 species